UCUGGGCAUUUCUACAUAAUUAUUGAUCAACCUUGAACCAUAGUUUCUCAAAAAGUCAUAUAAAUGGGAGAGGAUUGAGGUAGAAGUAUGUGAUAUAUAAUUUAUUAUCUAAAUUUGGACACUUUUGUCUGGAAAGAAAAAGAAGAAAAGUAAAGAAAAACUGCCAGGAUGCUGGGACAAGAGGUGCACCACAUCCUGCUGGGGAAAGCAAACCAGAACAUCAGGUCAUCCUGGGUAGACACAACCUGAGCCAGUGAGCAACACUGCCCCCAUUCCAGCUGAUUUCUAGUGUAAUUUUCCAUCAUCUGCCUUUUUAAAUGUAGAAAGUCUUGAUUCAGGCUUGACUGGAAGUAUUAAAUGUCUACCUCACUUUUGAUAGGAAGAAGAUGAUUUUUCACCUAGUGGAGUCAUUGAACAGUGGUCUUCAAAUUGGGAUUAUUUCCAAGAAUGGGCAGACUAGAAUUGCAGUGCACAGAUACAAGAAUGUUGCCUGCUUUGGAGCCAAGACUGCCUUCCGGAUAAAGGGCCCACAGAGAGCUGAGAGCUGUGUAAUACCUCAAAGACUGAAGAAAAGAGUUAGACAGCCAUCUUUCCUUAGAGGAUUUUGCUGCAGACAGCUUGAACUACCAGAAGGUUAUAUACUGACCAUGGGUAGAGUAAGGAAGAAAUACAUCCUUCGGAAAGGACAAUGAAGAUCUUUACAGCAGGGAGGUGAGGACAAAGUGAUUCUCCCUUCUGGAGGAUGCAGCAAAGUGCUGCCUGCCAUCUUGGAAGCACAGAGUAGCCUUCACCACACUCUAAUCCCAUCAGAGCCUUGAUCUUGGACUUGCCAGCCUUCAGAACAGUCUUGCCUCAUCACUGCCAUGACAGGGGGGUCCAAUGUGAGGAUUCUGGUGUCUAUGCCAAGCAUCUCUUUUCCAACGUAGAUCUGAUUUCUUAACAUAGCCAACAGCAAGUCAACAUCAGCUUUGCAGAGAAAAGCAGGGAUGCGUGUGCACAAAGAAAAGGCCAUGUGAGGACAUAGCAAGAGGGAAGCUGUCCGCAAGCCAAGGAAAAAGGCCUCAGGAGAAACCAAAUCUGCCAAUACAUUGAUCUUGGACUUCCAGCAUUCAGAAAUGUAUGUGAAAAUUAAGGACAGAUCCUAUGCUGACCUGAUAAACAAAGAUAGCUCUUUCGAGCUCAAUGUACAUUGAGUGUAACAAGAGGGAAGGAGGGAGGAAACCACUGCCCAUUUGGGAUUCCUUCAAAUUCACAUCUCUCCAAAAUGGGAGACUUGUAUUUUCUGACAUUCAACUUAAUCGAAGAAUAAAGCUUUAACAGUGGCAUCAGUGACAUGAUGAAUGAUGCAUCAUUUUGAAGUAAUAAUGGUUUUCCCAGUGACUCAGAAAUAGCAGUAUGUUCAGAUUCAGUGUGCCUGUUCAUGAGAGCUCUGCAGAAAUUGCACAUCUGGCUCUUUGCCUGUGCACCUGAAGUUAUCUCAGGAGAAAUUAUACAAAUUAAAUACAGACACAGAGAAGGUCUUUUUUAAUUCAAAGGAAAAGAAUAUAUAUUCAAGAAAAGCAAAAAAGGUAAGAGAAAAGGUAAGGGACUGUAGUGAUAUUAAGCUA
rnacentral:lncRNA from 1 species